AGUGGCGGACGGGUGAGUAACGCGUGAGAAUCUGGCUUCAGGAGGGGGACAACAGUUGGAAACGACUGCUAAUACCCCAUAUGUCUACGGAUGAAACGGUGAAUUCCGCCUGAAGAUGAGCUCGCGUCGGAUUAGCUAGUUGGUGAGGUAAAGGCUCACCAAGGCGACGAUCCGUAGCUGGUCUGAGAGGAUGAUCAGCCACACUGGGACUGAGACACGGCCAGACUCCUACGGGGGGCAGCAGUGGGGAAUUUUCCGCAAUGGGCGAAAGCCUGACGGAGCAACGCCGCGUGCGGGAAGACGGCCUGUGGGUUGUAAACCGCUUUUCUCUGGGAAGAAUAAGUUGACGGUACCAGAGGAAUCAGCAUCGGCUAACUCCGUGCCAGCAGCCGCGGUAAUGCGGAGGAUGCAAGCGUUAUCCGGAAUUAUUGGGCGUAAAGCGUCCGCAGGCGGCUUAUCAAGUCUGCUGUUAAAGGUCGGGGCUCAACUCCGGUUGGGCAGUGGAAACUGAUAGGCUAGAGUGUGGUAGGGGUAGAGGGAAUUCCCAGUGUAGCGGUGAAAUGCGUAGAUAUUGGGAAGAACACCAGUGGCGAAGGCGCUCUACUGGGCCAUAACUGACGCUGAGGGACGAAAGCUAGGGGAGCGAAAGGGAUUAGAUACCCCUGUAGUCCUAGCUGUAAACGACGGAUACUAGGUGUUG
rnacentral:rRNA from 1 species